CAUUAUGACGAAAAAGAACACAGAAUUUUGUGAGAAAGCAACGAAUUUCAACGUAUACGUAUGCCUGCCAACGGCAUGUCGAUCAACUGUACCGUUAUUCAGUGUUGUUUACAAAUCCAAAUGGAAGGUUCAUCAAAUUUAACGCAUUUGACUUGUGCAUGGAUCUGCGAUGCUGUAGGUGUUCAAAAAGAAGUCGGCAUGGACUGACAAGGUCAUAAAGGUGGUCAAGAAAUAAAUUGCCAUCAGACAGCAGCAUUCCUUGAUUUAGAUGCAUUUCUCUUCAUGUCCUCUCCUGAAAGAUUUUCCAUGAUGCCUCAGGGUUAGGAUUGGGAUGCAAGAUGUACAGUACAUAUAUAUGAUGUCUAUGGGUACAUUGCUGUAAUGGCCUGAAAAAUCUUUUGCGAAACC